UUGGCAAUGAUGAGAAGCGCAGGGGUACGGACCUCAGCUAGUGAUGGGGGCUGAGUGCCGCUGUGUGUCGUGUUCAGAGGGCGAGUGGCUCACUGACAGACGGCAGCAGCACGAAACAGACGCCUGACUGAGCCAC